UAAUGAUCAUUUAAUUUAUUCUAAAAGAUUGUUUAGUGACCUCGAUAAUUAUUCGACUGUUGGCAUUUAUCGCAUACAGGUCGGCGCAUUUUUUUCAAAUAAAAUAUUCUCAAAUUUAGUAAUUUUUCCGUUGCUUCAAUUAAAACUUUCAUUCGACCAAAUGCAAUCAGUAGAAGUGGAAUACAAAGCAGAAAAAACAUGUUUUCUUUGUAUAUAUUAUUUGCCAAAGUUCAGGAGGUGAUGAUAGUUCCUUUUCAACAUACAGGGUGCUAAAUAAUGAAGUUAUGCAAUAAUUAUGUUUAUUUGUUUUAUCGAAACGUUUAUAUGCGUCAAAAAUCAUUAGUCAAUGGCUCAUGUAAUUCUGAAUUACCGUUUCAUUAAGUCGUCCCUUCCAGGAAGAUGGAACACAGUGGAUUUAAUUUUUUAUCUCGAAAACGGAGCGAAAUAACGAAAAAACUUAGAGACAUAAAAGUUGUAUUCCAAGUCCCUAAAUCCUAACAAAGUGGAAACAAUUUAAAUAAAUCAGUGGUCCGCAUUUUAUUCGUGAAAAAUCUUGACUAUUAAGUCCUCAGAGACGCCACUAAGCGCAUACCGUAAACCAGUAAAUUAUAUGGAUUGAUUGUGAUUUCUGAAAAAACAGCCUGCCGCUGACAAACUUAGGACUUUUUUUGGAAAAUUUACCGGAAAAAUAGCCGGAAUGGGACUCACAAAACAUGCCAAUUAUCUUAUUUCCAUCGCUACUGCUACAUAAAAAACUUAAGUAAACUCUUGUUUAAAACCAUAGGUAAAUUGUAGUCGGUUAUCCAUUCGAUUAGCGGGUUAGAAUUAAUUGAAUGUUCGAUAUGAA